GGGGAAUGUGAUGCGAGGCGGGUCGUUUUUUGAAUAGAUGCCGAUCCCCCCCUUCCUUCACGUUUCUGAAGGAGAUGGCGAAUGGAUACGUCGAAAUAAGUUUCUGAAGGAGCACAGAAUCCACGACUACACUCACACGAACUGACACGUUUCUUCCUGCACUCCACCGCCCAAGACGUCAGCGGAAUGUUUUGCGGCACGACGCUUCUCCGAACCACAGGCUGAUGUUUCUUUCCCACCUUAAAAAUAUUUCUACCUCACACACAUUCAAGGCGCUGUUGUGCCAAACUGAAUGUCCAUCCAGCACUGACUUUGUCAUGCUUGUUAUGUGGAGCACGUUACAAAAAAUGCAGCUCCACAUCUGAAACACCAAUCAGUAUCAUCGUCAUCUAAAAGGGGCACCGUGGUGAGACCAGACACGCUUUCUGGAGAUCUUCUAUGGCACUUUCCGCAGUUUGCACAAUUUUCUUCAGCAUCGAAGUCUCUCAUAGGAACCACUUUCAUUAAUGACUCCCAUCUUACCCUUUGAUGUGCAGGGGCCCUCUUGCACUACACACGUAUGGUCUGCAAAUUGCAACAGAACGAUUUGGAGCUUGAAACAGUUGUGCUUUUGUCAUUUUGGACCUCGUGUAUCCUGUCUGUGAAGCGUAAACAAAAAAGUCUAACACGAUAUGCUUUUGUAAAGAAGAUUACUGAUGAUGAGUAAAGAGAGUAUACAUUUUUCAAGUUCAACAUUUAUUUCUUGCACUUAUGCAUUUCAGGAUACAAUGAACGUGCAGGGAGGUCGCAAAAGACUACAUUUAUUGUUUUGUGACCUUCCUACAAUGACAAUAUAUAUUUUAGGGAUGACAAUGGACAGGUACACUCUCUAAAUUUGGAGCACUCAAUUUUAGGUUGGAAUGAGCAAAGAAUAGCAACUUCCCUCCUGAUAUUUUCUCAUAUAUGCUGAAUUUUAAAUUUAAUGUGAUCAACGGUAGAUGUAAACAACAUCAGUACCAGAGAAAUGCAUCCUCAAUAAAUAAAUUUCUUCUUAUAGCAUAUAUGUGCAUGCCUAUUAACUGAAACGAUUAUCACAGUUGCCUGACAUGUUUUAAUUUCUGAGAGUGUACUGUAGAGGCUGCUUAGAUCUACAACAGUUCACACAAGGUAUUAUUUACUGUGAAUGCCUUUAAAAAUCCCAUGUGACACAUAUGCUUUUACUUUCUGGAGGUGCUGUGGUAGUCAAAGUUUGUUGGCAUUACGCAGGUUCUGCACCCAUUUCUUGAGUAUGUUGAGGCAGCUGUGAAGUAACCUGUAUUGAUGAUUAUUCCAAUUUUUAUGGUGCAUCGACAACAAAGGCAAUAAUACAUCAGAACAUUGGUUUGGGUGCAACCAGUUAAAAAUGAAUGUUGUUUAAUAAAUGCAUUGGACAAAUGUUAAAACAUCAGUUUAAAACAUGGCUUACAAUCCCUGUAUCUUCUAAAAAUUGAAAAGAUUAAAACCUAUUCUAAAAAGAAUAUGGGGAACUCUUCUAAAAAGAAUUAUAAUUAUUAUAUUGCUGGGUGAAGGAGCCUAAGGUGUGUUUCUGAUGUCAACAUGUAUGAAAAUGUGCAAAUUUGAGAGAGGCUAACCACAGUGCGUGCACUGAGGUGGUUCCUUCCUGUAAAGUAGAAACCAGUGGAUGAGGAACUUGGUACUUAUCUGUACACCCAGUCGUAUCACACUGCACAGAUUAUUCACUGGGUAGUCCACAUGACGAAACCUGUAUUGACGAGACACCACUUUUGCCUUAAAAACUGCUACAAAUAGCACGGCACGCUACAAAUUAUUAUUAUCGUAACAAGCUGACGAUACAGGUGAGACACAAGGCGUUAUCCAAGUCGCGCCACACCACCGUCACGUAGCAUUCUGUGUCACAAAUCAAACCAAGGCACAAAACAAUACCAAUACAUGAAAAAAGGUGACAAUCUUGGUCUAAUUACGACGUAAUACCGAACUUGUGCGCGAAGGUAAUUCAAAGAAAUGAAUGUGCACUCGCUUCCGUAGAGAACACCGUGUACCAUGCUAGCAAUGCAUGCAAAAACGCGCUCGAGUGCUCGCACAUAUAUUGAUGACAACAUGACAACACUACCAGUGUACUAUAACAUGUUCUUUCAAGCACAUUAUGCACUCAAACUGUAUUUGCCACCAGGUAACAUGCAAGUGUGCUCGAUUGAACCUCGGAAGAGCGAUCAAACAACCUGCAUCCAGUGCUCGUUUUGAACAAAAAAACACUUCAUAAUGGUCAACUAAAUAUACAGAAUGGACGCUUAUUUAUUCCUUGAUAAAGAAUUACUCACCUGUAGAAAUUUAGGCCCUGUAUCCUUGCCAGUACGAUUGGUACGACCGUAAUUGCAAGAAGUUGCCAUGAUCGCUGCGGCGACUGUUGUGGGUACAGUAAGAUGGCGGCCGGUUUCCUCACGCUCGCGCUCCCCAUCCGCGAUCCAGCCUUUUACAAUCGAGAUCAGUGGUUUAGACUAGUUCAAUUUCAAGAAGUUCGACUGCUGGCGGCGUCUAGCCAUUCUACCAAAAGCGACGGCAAUAACAAACACAAGUAGGAAAAACCACAAAACCGCAAACUACGCCGUGGUCGUGAUCAUUAGAUCUGCGAUUAGUACGUGACGGGAGGUAAAUGUAUCUGCGUCGUCACUCGUGUUAUUUGCGACUUCGCGGAGGAGGAGUGUCGUUGGGAGGAACCCGAGAGGUCUGCCUGCCUGAUUAGGCGGCAUGUUUCUCGGGAAGGGAAAGGUGGUGGAGAGGAGGAGAGGAAAGGGUGAAAUGGAAGACCGAGCGGAGGGGGAGGAUAGCUGCGUCCAUGGGCCGACUUCAGGGGAACUGUGCCGGCAUACGCCUAUUACACGUCUGAGGGAAACCCAGGAAAAACCCCAGACGGCACAGCCGGCCCGCGGAUUCGAACCGCGGACCUCCCA